AUGAGUAAUUGACAAAACAGUGUUGUGUUUCUCUUUCGGCGACCCCCAUAUCAAAAUACAAUACUAUGAAAUGUAGCUGACGGUCUUCUGCAGGUUCUCCUCUAACCAGUGAGGCAAGAGGUGAGGAUGGAGGUGAUAUCAGCGCCUGGCCCCUCAUCAAAGACACUGAGUAAAUAACUAACGGACACUAGAGAAGCUUAACCAAGUUGAAUUCUUCACAAAGGGUCGACACAGCUGUGUUCAGGCAAAGACAUGUUCCCACUAUCACAAGUAUAUAUACUCCACUUUAGACACUCCUCCUUCUCUCCAAUCCUUACAUCUUAUGGUUCCACAGGAAGAGGGUAAUAGGAUAAUAAACCAUUAUUUCUCUCUUCAGGGGAUCUGACCUGACCUCCUGACCUCAACCCCUCCUUCGCCUAAUCCACAGAUGUCAAUCCGCUUCCCCUAUAGCAAUCCUGUGACUUACACCCGUCCACCCAACACAUUCCAAAGCCAUCUGUCUUUCUACAGAGAACCAUUAACUUCUGACAUAAAAGCCAGUCUCUUUCACUCCUUUAUAUACUAUGCUUCUGAUCUAUCAUGUCUUUAGUAUCUCAAUGUUCAAAGUUUACCCCGAAUCCAACACACCUAUCCUGGGAUAGUCUAUGACUUAGAGGCUCACUCCCCUCAGUGGUCAAGGACAUGGGUUUUACUUGAGAUAGGGGUAUCUGGAGUUGACAAUUGAUUUAUGCCAUAGAAUGAGUUGGUGUUUCUAUACUAUGAAGUACCAGGGACAAGAUCAGAGCCUUGUUUUAGGGGCCAAACUCUCUACAAUAAGAACAGUCUUCCUAGCAAAUGCUAUCUGGCUGGGUGAUACUCCUUUCUCAUUUAUCAAGUAUCACCUUGUGACCCAUUCCACACAUCUAUUGUUUGUCAUGUAGACUAAGGGGGUGUAUCUUUGCUAUAAAAGAUCUUUGUAUCCUUUGUGUCGGAGCUCUCAACAAAUCAUCUGAGGGUGUAUUGUCGACCAGCCAUUGCUAUUGUAGAGCUUUUACUAAUAAAGAUUCAGUUUAUGUAUAACUUUGACUUUGUCUCUCCUAAUUUGAUAAUACAGAAAUGAACCACCACAUUUGGCGACGAGGACGGAAUGUGAAUCUUCACUUGGUGACCUCUCCUGACGACCUGGGUAAAUCGUGCAGGAGGGAUUCCUCAAACUUGGGAUCUCAGGGAGACCACACUUCGGGAACAGAUCAGAUCGACCCGCCUAAGACCUGAGAGGAAGUGAGCAGAGUGGGUACCACAUCCCUCACAUAGUUUAAAAAAAGAAAGAUGUGAGCGAACCACACGAAGUAGAGUUUUUUAGAAAAGCCUCGGUUAUGUAGGCUCUGAGUGUGGUCCUGUGUGAGGGGACACCGUAGAGACGUAAGCAGGGCCAUGUCAGAUGAUAGUAAUCUGAGAGUUUGUAGACUCCAAAAAACUCUGCCACUGGUCGGUUGCUGGCGACUUAGAGCCGUCCUGACACUGAAUUGAUCACAGUGGGGAUUUGUGCGGUCUGUAGAGGCGAGGGGUCAGGGUGACUGUGGGUUCUCCUGGUGAAGCCCUAUUGGAAGAAGAACCUCGUUCUGAAAACUGUCUAAGUGACCCUCAGAAGUGGUGAAAUCCAAUUACUUUAAAUGUGCUAGCCAGGUAUGCCCUGGUUUACGCUGUGUGUGUUUUGUUUUGGGGAAACUAAUUAGGUAAUAUUUCUUUUUUUUUUUCUUUUUUUUGGAGAAUGUGAAACGCUUUAUUGAAAGAAGUUCAUUAUCCAGGUGUUAUUAAUGCAUUCAUUAUAAUUAUAAUGAUUGCAAUAUUAUAUUAUAAAUACAAUUUCAAUCUGUACUUCAAUGCACAUAUGGUGUGCAUUAUAAAACGAGGAAGAAAGACGAGGUGUGGAGAGAGGUGUAGAAGACAGAAGGGGAAAGAGGUAAGGACAGCGGCAGACAGCAUAUGAUUCAUGAAUUACAGGGCUACCCUAAUAUUCUCUCAGUUCAUCACAAUUGCAGUGUCUCCUAACCUUCGGGCCAACUGGGGGCCCAAUGAUGGUUAUCUUAAGAGUGGGUGAGUAAUAUUUUGACAAUGUUCGACAUUGACAAUGUAUCGCCCCAGAUAUGAUAUUAGACAAAAUGCCAUGAUAGUCACUUAGCCAAGACCGUGGACAUAUAUAUUUUGUGUAUCUUUUUGUUUUGUUUUAUUCUUAAUUUUUAUUUCAUUUUCUUUGACACUAAGGAAGAUAUACUGCCAUACAAUCACCAGUUAGGGCCACAACGCUGCUCAUUUGGAGAAGAAAUGUAAUGAUGUAUUGCGUGAGUGUGAUGCGUUAAUAACGUCUGUCUAAGUUACUGCCUAAAUCCACCAGCCUGAACAACCGAACGACGGGUACGGAACACCGAUCCACAACCAGGACAUCCCAAGGCCAUUUUUGUGGGGUUCUGCGGCUUGCAGAAAUCCUACCAGGUUAAACCACCAGAAGAGGACUGUCAGAAUAAUCCACAAACCAGGACAUCCCGUGGUCAUUCUUGUGAUGGGUUGCAACUUGCAGAAUCCUUCCACGAUUGAACCCACCAGAAAGGGACUGUUAUGACUGUCCACGAGAAUCCAAAUAGGUCAGAUCAGGUUUGCAAUUAAUAACUUUAUUCAGACCCCCUCUCACCCGUAGAGGGGUGGGAGGAAAGAACUAGUGGGGAUUAACAACGCACGUCCUGUUGUAAAUCAAUGGAAGAAGAUUCAGGUCUCCCUCUCCCAGAUUCACCAAAGGAGUGUCCUUUGUUUCAAUAGACUUUUCCCGCUGAAACUCUAGCACGUUCAAAAGUGAAUAAGGGAACAAUUGUAUUUAUUUAUUGUUUAUAGUUUUUUACUAUAAAAUUGAUCAUAUUUCUCCCCAAUUUCCUGGUAUCCAAUUGAAGCAGCGCACAGUCUUAUCCCAUCGCUGCAACUCUCGUACAGACUCGGGAGAGGCAGUCAAGAGCCGUGCGCCCUCCAAAACCCGACCCCACCAAGCCACACUGCUUCUUGACACACUGCCCGCUUAACCCGAAGCCAGCCGCACCAAUGUGUCAGAGGAAACACCGUACACCUGUCGACCGUGUCAGCGUGCAAUGCGUGACGGGAUAAUGACAUCCCGGCCGAACAAACCCUCACCUAACCCAAUUGUGCGCCGCUUCAUUGUUCUCCUGGUUGCGGCCGACUGCGACACAGCCUGGAAUUGAACCAGGAUCUGUAGUGACACAGGACACGACACGCCUUAGACCGAUGCGCCACUCGGGAGGCCCUGGAACUAUAUUUCUAUCAUAGAAUGUGGGGAAUGGUCAGAGGCAAUCUAUAGAACACUAAGGAAAUACUGCAACUUGGAAAGUAUACCCACUACAUAUACGAAGUUUCCAUACUAUGUGUUGUAAUUGUAACAUGACAAAUGAUGAAAGUGUUUUUGUUAAAGAGAGGGAUGUGAUUUGAGAAGCUACUGUAUAAGAGGUAAUUGUUUUACAUAAACUUUGCACAAUGACAAGUCACGCCCCAGAGUGAGGUCAGAAAGCGUGCCAGCCUGACAGAACUGCCCAUUUCAAACAAACAGUUUGCGCUCUCCCCUGAUAAAAAUAAUAAUAAAAAAUUAAAAUAAAUAAAAAACAACCUUAUAAAUGAUGAGUUAAGAAAUGAACAUACCAGAUCAGAGAAGCGUGAAGUUGCAGCUGCACAUUUAAAGUGGUUUGAACUUUGAAUCUCAACACGAGGUAGAGACGAUAAACUUUAAUUGCCUUUGAACUGGUUAUGGUGGUAGGUGCCAGGCACACCGCUUUGUGUCAAGAACUGCAACGCAACUAGGUAAUUCAUACUCAACAGUUACCCAUUCGUAUCAAUAAUGGUACGCCACCCAAAGGACAUCCAGCCAACUUGACACAACUGUGGGAAGCAUUGGAGUCAACAUGGGCCAGCAUCCCUGUGGAAUGCUUUCGACGUUUUGUAGAGUUGACGGUCCAAAGGAAUGAGGCUCUUCGGAGGGCAAGUCCUGUAAAUGUAGAGAUAAAUAACUACUUAUUCAACUCGGAAAUAUGUGACCUAUCAUUUCACAUAUUUGAGCCAAUCCAUUAUAAAAAAGUAUUUCAGUAGAUGCGGAGAUUGAAAAAGAAAAUGCAUUACAUAUUUAAUAUGUCCCAUACCUUUACAUAUUCAUGUAGAUUCUGAAAUAAUCUACAUGUUCUAAUUUGAUUGAAAAUUGUUCAGUUUGUACUAAGGGAACAAAGGGCCCUGGGAACAUAGGACGAAGGCAACAUAGAGAUGUGCAUCCUGCUGUUCAAUUCACUAAGGGCUUUUUAGUCUCAAGCGGCAGGGAUCCUUUAAACACGUUGGUUGGGGGUGAUGAAACAACAGAGGCCCCAUUCAAUGAAGGGAAGCAUAUAGGAGAAGUGGCGAUUUGCACGUGUCACUUGGCAAAAAGGGGGCAUGAUUUGUUGACAUAAUUGUAAUCCAAAUCCAACCUUCAUUUACUCGUUGUGAUGCACUGCGCAGUUCCAAACUCAGUUUUAGAUGAGACUGACUUUAUUAACAAAAUGAUCUUAUUUACACUUCGCAGUCAAUUUUGACACUAAAAUACAUUUUUUUCUGACUCAUAUCGAUGGUGCAUAGGUUAUUGUCAAGGUGAUUAGUUGGUUUUUAUGGUCAAUCGCUCUUUAAAGAGUGGGACAUCAGCUGAAAUGCAGACAAUUUUGUAUAUUGAACUCUGAAUAUAUAAUUUGUUCCUGUGUUGCAUUGUAUUGUGUUGUAACAUGCUGUUAGGUACCUGCAAGGACUGGGAUGGGAUAAGAGAGUUGUGUAUGAGUAAUCGGUAAGGCCUAAGUAUUGUAGCCUAGUGCAGAGGUUUUUACUCUAUACAUUUAUGUGGUUUGGUAAAUGUUUGUUUCGUUUCACAUAAAGACAAAAAUGUUUUCAACUUUUUUAGCAUUUGGCUACUUUUGCUUUGA